rnacentral:rRNA from 1 species
GAUGAACGCUGGCGGCGUGCCUAAUACAUGCAAGUCGAGCGAACAGACGAGGAGCUUGCUCCUCUGACGUUAGCGGCGGACGGGUGAGUAACACGUGGAUACCCUACCUAUAAGACUGGGAUAACUUCGGGAAACCGGAGCUAAUCCCGGAUAAUAUAUUGAACCGCAUGGUUCAAUAGUGAAAUACGGUUUUGCUGUCACUUAUAGAUGGAUCCGCGCCGCAUUAGCUAGUUGGUAAGGUAACGGCUUACCAAGGCAACGAUGCGUAGCCGACCUGAGAGGGUGGUAGGCCACACGGGAGCGGAGACACGGACCAGAGUCCUGCGGGAGGCAGCAGUAGGGAAUCUUCCGCAAUGGGCGAAAGCCUGACGGAGCAACGCCGCGUGAGUGAUGAAGGUCUUCGGAUCGUAAAACUCUGUUAUUAGGGAAGAACAAAUGUGUAAGUAACUAUGCACGUCUUGACGGUACCUAAUCAGAAAGCCACGGCUAACUACGUG